AAUAUUAGCUAAGUACUUUAAACCCAUAGAAUUUGGCGGUAUCUUAUUCCAUUCAGAGGAACCUACCCCGUAAUUGAUAGUACACGAUUAACUUUACUUGAUUUAUUUGUUUGUAUAUCUCCGUUAUCAGAAGAUCUUUUUAGAGUUAUAAUUUUCUAAAUUUAUAAUUAUAAAUUAUUUCAGGUCAAGGUGCAGCUUAUAAUUAAGAGGAGGUGGGUUACAUUAAAUUUAAUUUAAACGGAUUUUAUAAUGAAAGAUUAUAAAUAAAGGUGGAUUUGAUAGUAAUUUAAUUUAUUAAAUUUAAUUGAUAUUGGCUCUAAGAUGUGU
rnacentral:rRNA from 1 species